rnacentral:rRNA from 1 species
AGAGUUUGAUCCUGGCUCAGAACGAACGUUGGCGGCAGGCUUAACACAUGCAAGUCGGAGGUGAACCGGGACUUCGGUCCCGCGGAAACUGGCGCACGGGUGAGUAACGCGUGGGAAUCUACCCCGGGGUGGGGAAUAACCGCUGGAAACGGCGGCUAAUACCGCAUACGCCUUGAGAGGGAAAGCUUUAUGCGCCCUGGGAUGAGCCCGCGUCGGAUUAGCUUGUUGGUGAGGUAACGGCUCACCAAGGCUUCGAUCCGUAGCUGGUCUGAGAGGAUGAUCAGCCACACUGGGACUGAGACACGGCCCAGACUCCUACGGGAGGCAGCAGUGGGGAAUAUUGGACAAUGGGGGCAACCCUGAUCCAGCCAUGUCGCGUGCGUGAAGAAGGCCUUAGGGUUGUAAAGCGCUUUCAGCGGGGAAGAUGAUGACGGUACCCGCAGAAGAAGCCCCGGCUAACUCCGUGCCAGCAGCCGCGGUAAUACGGAGGGGGCAAACGUUGUUCGGAAUUACUGGGCGUAAAGGGCGCGUAAGCCGAUUAUCAAGUCCGAGGUGAAAGCCCUGGGCUCAACCUAAGAACUGCCUUUGAAACUGAUAGUCUUGAGUCCCGAAAGAGGAUGGGGGAAUUCCCCAGUGUAGAAGUGGAAUUCCUAAAAUUUUGGGAAAAACACCAGUGGCAAAGGGGGCCCUUCUGGUUCG